AUUGAACGCUGGCGGCAGGCCUAACACAUGCAAGUCGAGCGAGUGGCGGACGGGUGAGUAAUGUAUGGGAAACUGCCCGAUAGAGGGGGAUAACUACUGGAAACGGUAGCUAAUACCGCAUACCAUCGGAUGUACCCAGAUGGGAUUAGCUAGUAGGUGGGGUAACGGCUCACCUAGGCGACGAUCCCUAGCUGGUCUGAGAGGAUGAUCAGUCACACGUGGACGUGAACACGGGUCCAACUCCCACGGGAGGCAGGAGGGGGGAAGUUUUGACCAUUGGCGCAAGCCUGAUGCAGCCCUGCCGGGGGGUUGAAGAAGGGCUUUGGGUUGGAAAAUACUUUCAGCCGGGAGGCGUUACCCGCAGAAGAAGCACCUGCUAAAUCCGUUCCAGCAGCCGCGGUAAUUC
rnacentral:rRNA from 1 species